AGGUACAAUCAUACCAGCACUAAUGCACUGGAUCCCAUCAGAACUCCGUAGUUGCGCGUGCUUGGGCGAGAGUAGUACUAUGAUGGGUGCCCUCCUAAGAAGUCCUCAUGUUGCACCCC
rnacentral:rRNA from 1 species